AUAAGAACAUCCCCUAAAUAAAACAAACACUAGACUAGAGAAGGAGGGUAGACUGCUUCCAUUCCCAGCUAAACUCUGGGGAUUAUUUUGCCCCAUAACCGUGGGUUCGCCCUAGCUAAAGAUCCAGCCAUUGAGGAGGUCUUCUGUCUCUAGGUAGAUUACGGUGAACUUCUGAUGUUGUUGCACUCAAAAGUACCUUGGGCGCAAGCUUGACAAUGGGCUCAGGGUUCGCAGUGCAAACGGGUGAGGAGGUGGUAUCAGCUCAUGCCAGGCAAAGGGGUAUCUCAGCCACCGGCAGUAAUGGAGGAGAACAGUCAGGAACAGGUGAUUCUUGAUUCGGUGUCUUGCCAGAAGAGGUGAAGUCAGACAACUCAACUGAAGAUGUGUCCUGAGGACUGGCAUGACCUGGCAACAGCUGAUCUAUAUGUCGCUGCCAGAGUGGAAGCCAUUGCGUGCGAUGAAGCUUCUGAGGUUGAAUUGGGAUCCUUCUGUCCCAUCCCCUGUAGCGGUCAGUAUUAGUAGAAAUUCCUGUAAUAGGAUCCUAUUAGGCCAUAAUUCCCUCUGUUCUCUGUGUAAUUCUCUGUUAGAGUGUCAGCAGGCAGAUGGGUGGGUCUCUGGUAAAACCUUCUAAGGAUAGUCCUUUGGAUUAUAUGUUAAGCAAAUGUCCCUUACCCGGUGUUCAAAAAGGGGAUGUCAAGGAAGUGUUUUUUACAACUUUGCACCCAGGAUUGGCCAGCCCUGGGGACUGCAUGGCCCGAGUAUGGCUCCUUUGAUAUUCCUACCCAUUUAACUCCCUUGAACCUGACAAGCGCCGGGGCAAAUGGAUUAUUGGUUUUUGUGGGACAAUGAGGCUCAUCAUCACUUGAAGAAGGUUCAGAUUCAGGCCCCUCUAUUCCUGAAAGCUUCUGCCCCUCACAAAGCUGACUGUUGGGAGGAUAUCCCCCCCCAUGUAUUGCCCUAGACCACGGCCACCCCCGGUGGCAGCAUUACCAAUUGUGGCGGACCUGGUACCCUCCUCAACGGAGCCCGGGGCAGCAGUUCUACCGAGACAGAUCCCGCCAACAAAGAUUGAAGAUGCCACAAUGCAGGUCAGCGAAUCAGCUAGUGGAGCCACCGGCAGUGGGUACACUACUUCCCUGUCUGUUCCCAUCCUUAGUCCAUCCCAUACAAGGAAGGGGGCACUCUAUGGGGAAGAGACCUUAUGAACUGGCAAACCACUACGCCUUGCCUUAGGGACGACCUGGACGUCGUUCACAGGCGAUUCCGUGCCAUUUUCCAGUCUCAUAAUCCUGAUUGGCAAGACGUGGGCCAACUUUUAGAUUGCCUAUUGCGCACGGAAGAGAAAGAGCAGGUACUGAGGGGGGCCUGGGAGGCUGCAGAGGCCACCAACGAUGGUCACAAUUUUAUAAGGUUCGUCAAUCCGCCCCGUUGGAACCCGAAUGAUUUGACCCAACAAUCAGAUCUGAAGAAAUUCCUAGACUAUAUUUUGACAGGCAUAAAACAAGCGGGAGAAAGAACUUUAGAUUGGACAAAGGUCCAUAAUACUGUGCAAGGGAAAGAAGAACACCCUUCUGACUUUUAUGAGAGACUUUGUAAAGCAUUUUGUAUCCAUACUAAUAUAGAUCCCAAGGCCAUGGACACACAGUCCACGGUCAGGCUUAUUUUUAUUUCCCAGUCAGCCCUGGACAUCAAGAAGUGGUUGCAGCAGCUUGAGGGCACUGAAGGAAAAUCCCUGGAGGAACUGGUAAGCGUGGCCACCCGGGUAUAUCAUACAAGGAAAAAAGUUCAAGAGACCAAACAGGUGAGGAUGCUAGCAGCCCUUGUAAACACUGGAAAUGAAAAACAGG